UAGCAAUCGUAGUCUGAAACUGUGGAGAGGGAAAGCGUCGUUAAUUACUUGAGGCAGGUCACCGCAAGGACCCUCGCAGUUAAUAAUGUAUCUGGACCAUUUCUGGGAAGUCUCAGUCCAUAUGGAUUUGUGGCACAGAAUGGACCCUCAAGGGAUGCUACCUUACGCUCAAUCAUGUACUGGAGAUUCAGUGAUACCACUUUGAUAACUGGUCAUAGUCCUGGCCUUUCCUAUUCCAGAUUGAGAGAGAGAUACUCGCUUAACUUGAAGGCAGGAUCUCAAGACCUGGAUGUGGAACAUAACCUGGCACACAGGCCCAAUUGCAGAAUUGGCAAUGGAUAUGGGUGAUUCACCUUUUCACCACCUGACCAGGCUCCUGCUGUGGAGCUAGAACUAACCGAGAUGAACAUUUCAUCCAUGGGAAUAUAUAGUCAAGAAGCUAAACUGUACUUACCUGGCUGGUAAUAUCCGAUGGCAUAGGUGAUGG